AGUGAGGAAUAUUGGGCAAUAGGCGCAAGCCUGACCCAGCCAUGCCGCGUGCAGGAUGAAGGCCCUAUGGGUUGUAAACUGCUUUUAUACGGGACGAAUCCCUCGGACGUGUCCGGGGCUGACGGUACCGUAAGAAUAAGCAUCGGCUAACUCCGUGCCAGCAGCCGCGGUAAUACGGAGGAUGCAAGCGUUAUCCGGAUUCAUUGGGUUUAAAGGGUGCGUAGGCGGAACGAUAAGUCAGCGGUGAAAUCCUGCAGCUUAACUGUAGAAUUGCCAUUGAUACUGCCGUUCUUGAAUGCGGUUGAGGCAGGCGGAAUGUGUAUUGUAGCGGUGAAAUGCGUAGAUAUUACACAGAACACCUAUUGCGUAGGCAGCCUGCUAAGCCGUGAUUGACGCUGAGGCACGAAAGCGUGGGGAGCAAACAGGAUUAGAUACCCUGGUAGUCCACGCUGUAAACGAUGAUCACUCGCUGUUGGCGAUAUACCGUUCAGCGGCUAAGCGAAAGCAUUACGUGAUCCACCUGGGGAGUACGACGGCAACGUUGAAACUCAAAGGAAUUGACGGGGGCCCGCACAAGCGGAGGAACAUGUGGUUUACUUCGAUGAUACGCGA
rnacentral:rRNA from 1 species